CGUGUAGGCUGUUGUGCAAGUCAGGCGUGGAAUCCCACGGCUCAACUGUGGAAUUGCGUUUGAAACUGCACGGCUUGAUACAGGAGAGGAGAGCGGAAUUUCCAGUGUAGCGGUGAAAUGCUCAAAUAUUGGAAGGAACACCGGUGGCGAAGGCGGCUCUCUGGCCUGAUACUGACGCUGAGGCGCGAAAGCGUAGGGGAGCGAACA
rnacentral:rRNA from 1 species